rnacentral:rRNA from 1 species
UACGUAGGGAGCAAGCGUUGUCCGGAUUUAUUGGGCGUAAAGAGCUCGUAGGCGGCUUAGAAAGUCAGGUGUGAAACCUCCAGCUCAACCUGGAGACGCCACUUGAUACUUCUAUGGCUUGAGUUUGGCAUGGGGUAAGGGCGGAAUUCCUGGUGUAGCGGUGGAAAUGACGCAGAUAUCAGGAGGAACACCGAUGGCGAAGGCAGCUUACUGGGCCAAAACUGACGCUGAGGAGCGAAAGCGUGGGGAGCGAACAGG